rfam:Drosophila sechellia strain Rob3c scaffold_8352 genomic scaffold, whole genome shotgun sequence.
GCAUGGAGCUGCCAUCGGUACAGAUCGUAGCUGGUAGUAGCAAAUAAUCGAAUGAGACCUCGGAGGACUGAAGUGGAGAAGGGCUUUCGUGUGAACAGUGGUUGAUCACGAGUUAGUCGGUCCUAAGUUCAAGGCGAAAGCCGAAAAUUUUCAAGUAAAACAAAAAUGCCUAACUAUAUAAACAAAGCGAAUAUAAUACACUUGAAUAAUUUUGAACGAAAGGGAAUACGGUUCCAAUUCCGUAACCUGUUGAGUAUCCGUUUGUUAUUAAAUAUGGGCCUCGUGCUCAUCCUGGCAACAGGAACGACCAUAAAGAAGCCGUCGAGAGAUAUCGGAAGAGUUUUCUUUUCUGUUUUAUAGCCGUACUACCAUGGAAGUCUUUCGCAGAGAGAUAUGGUAGAUGGGCUAGAAGAGCAUGACAUAUACUGUUGUGUCGAUAUUUUCUCCUCGGACCUUGAAAAUUUAUGGUGGGGACACGCAAACUUCUCAACAGGCCGUACCAAUAUCCGCAGCUGGUCUCCAAGGUGAAGAGUCUCUAGUCGAUAGAAUAAUGUAGGUAAGGGAAGUCGGCAAAUUAGAUCCGUAACUUCGGGAUAAGGAUUGGCUCUGAAGAUUGAGAUAGUCGGGCUUGAUUGGGAAACAAUAACAUGGUUUAUGUGCUCGUUCUGGGUAAAUAGAGUUUCUAGCAUUUAUGUUAGUUACUUGUUCCCCGGAUAGUUUAGAUACGUAGCCAAUUGUGGAACUUUCUUGCUAAAAUUUUUAAGAAUACUAUUUGGGUUAAACCAAUUAGUUCUUAUCAAUUAUAACGAUUAUCAAUUAACAAUCAAUUCAGAACUGGCACGGACUUGGGGAAUCCGACUGUCUAAUUAAAACAAAGCAUUGUGAUGGCCCUAGCGGGUGUUGACACAAUGUGAUUUCUGCCCAGUGCUCUGAAUGUCAAAGUGAAGAAAUUCAAGUAAGCGCGGGUCAACGGCGGGAGUAACUAUGACUCUCUUAAGGUAGCCAAAUGCCUCGUCAUCUAAUUAGUGACGCGCAUGAAUGGAUUAACGAGAUUCCUACUGUCCCUAUCUACUAUCUAGCGAAACCACAGCCAAGGGAACGGGCUUGGAAUAAUUAGCGGGGAAAGAAGACCCUUUUGAGCUUGACUCUAAUCUGGCAGUGUAAGGAGACAUAAGAGGUGUAGAAUAAGUGGGAGAUAUUAGACCUCGGGGAUCAGGGGUAAUUGCGAGCAGAGGGGGAGUAUUUUUCUGUAAUUCGUAAGUCAUAUCAUAUGGUGUGCGGAAGGGGAAUUUUACUCUGUAACUCACAAGUCUCUCCUUUACUCAAGUCGACUCAAAACCUCCUCGUGGUGGUCCCCGGUAAUGCUAAACUUGUUUAGCAGCUAAUUUGAGCGGCAAAACUUUUCCGAUGGGUUGGUUCCCCAGAGGAAAUUUAUUCAUAUUGGAACUACAAAUAGAAAUAACGAGCCUCGGAGCAAUUUACGCAAUCUGAUGACGACCCGACCCUCCGUGGACAUCUUCCCGGAGGACCAAUAUGAACCAAACGCAGCGGCUACUCUAUCUAGGGUACCCUGCACAGUAUGUGGCCGGUCCUUUAAC